GACGAACGCUGGCGGCGCGCCUAACACAUGCAAGUCGAACGGAAUUAUUUUGGUUGAAGUUUUCGGAUGGAUACCGAUUUAGUUUAGUGGCGAACGGGUGAGUAACGCGUGAGUAACCUGCCCUGGAGUGGGGGACAACAGUUGGAAACGACUGCUAAUACCGCAUAAGCCCACGAAGCCGCAUGGCUUUGGGGGAAAAGGAUUUUAUUCGCUUCAGGAUGGACUCGCGUCCAAUUAGCUAGUUGGUGAGGUAACGGCCCACCAAGGCGACGAUUGGUAGCCGGACUGAGAGGUUGAACGGCCACAUUGGGACUGAGACACGGCCCAGACUCCUACGGGAGGCAGCAGUGGGGGAUAUUGCACAAUGGGGGAAACCCUGAUGCAGCGACGCCGCGUGGAGGAAGAAGGUUUUCGGAUUGUAAACUCCUGUCGUUAGGGACGAACCAUGACGGUACCUAACAAGAAAGCACCGGCUAACUACGUGCCAGCAGCCGCGGUAAAACGUAGGGUGCAAGCGUUGUCCGGAAUUACUGGGUGUAAAGGGAGCGCAGGCGGACCGGCAAGUUGGAAGUGAAAACCAUGGGCUCAACCCAUGAACUGCUUUCAAAACUGUGUAUCUUGAGUAGUGCAGAGGUAGGCGGAAUUCCCGGUGUAGCGGUGGAAUGCGUAGAUAUCGGGAGGAACACCAGUGGCGAAGGCGGCCUACUGGGCAUCAACUGACGCUGAGGCUCGAAAGUGUGGGUAGCAAACAGGAUUAGAUACCCUGGUAGUCCACACCGUAAACGAUGAUUACUAGGUGUUGGAGGAUAGACCCCUUCAGUGCCGCAGUUAACACAAUAAGUAAUCCACCUGGGGAGUACGACCGCAAGGUUGAAACUCAAAGGAAUUGACGGGGGCCCGCACAAGCAGUGGAGUAUGUGGUUUAAUUCGACGCAACGCGAAGAACCUUACCAAGUCUUGACAUCCUCUGACGAUGCUGGAAACAGUAUUUUCCUUCGGGACAGAGAGACAGGUGGUGCAUGGUUGUCGUCAGCUCGUGUCGUGAGAUGUUGGGUUAAGUCCCGCAACGAGCGCAACCCUUAUGGAUAGUUACUACGCAAGAGGACUCUAUUCAGACUGCCGUUGACAAAACGGAGGAAGGUGGGGAUGACGUCAAAUCAUCAUGCCCUUUAUGACUUGGGCUACACACGUACUACAAUGGCGUUCAACAAAGAGAAGCGAAACCGCGAGGUGGAGCAAAACUCAAAAACAACGUCCCAGUUCAGAUUGCAGGCUGCAACUCGCCUGCAUGAAGUCGGAAUUGCUAGUAAUCGCAGAUCAGCAUGCUGCCGUGAAUACGUUCCCGGGUCUUGUACACACCGCCCGUCACACCAUGAGAGUUAGAAAUACCCGAAGCCUGUGAGCUAACAAUAAGAGGCAGCAGUCGAAGGUAGAGCUAAUGAUUGGGGUGA
rnacentral:rRNA from 1 species